rnacentral:rRNA from 1 species
AGUGAACGCUGGCGGUAGGCCUAACACAUGCAAGUCGAACGGCAGCACGGUAAGAGCUUGCUCUUACGGGUGGCGAGUGGCGGACGGGUGAGGAAUACAUCGGAAUCUACUUUUUCGUGGGGGAUAACGUAGGGAAACUUACGCUAAUACCGCAUACGACCUACGGGUGAAAGCAGGGGAUCUUCGGACCUUGCGCGAUUGAAUGAGCCGAUGUCGGAUUAGCUAGUUGGCGGGGUAAAGGCCCACCAAGGCGACGAUCCGUAGCUGGUCUGAGAGGAUGAUCAGCCACACUGGAACUGAGACACGGUCCAGACUCCUACGGGAGGGAGCAGUGGGGAAUAUUGGACAAUGGGCGCAAGCCUGAUCCAGCCAUACCGCGUGGGUGAAGAAGGCCUUCGGGUUGUAAAGCCCUUUUGUUGGGAAAGAAAAGCAGCAGGUUAAUACCCCGCUGUUCUGACGGUACCCAAAGAAUAAGCACCGGCUAACUUCGUG